GACGAACGCUGGCGGCGUGCUUAACACAUGCAAGUCGAACGGAAAGGCCCUGCUUUUGUGGGGUGCUCGAGUGGCGAACGGGUGAGUAACACGUGAGUAACCUGCCCUUGACUUUGGGAUAACUUCAGGAAACUGGGGCUAAUACCGGAUAGGAGCUCCUGCUGCAUGGGGGGGGUUGGAACGUUUCGGCGGUUGGGGAUGGACUCGCGGCUUAUCAGCUUGUUGGUGGGGUAGUGGCUUACCAAGGCUUUGACGGGUAGCCGGCCUGAGAGGGUGACCGGGCACAUUGGGACUGAGAUACGGCGCAGACGCGUACGGGAGGCAGCAGUGGGGAAUAUUGCACAAUGGGCGGAAGCCUGAUGCAGAAACGCCGCGUGCGGGAUGACGGCCUUCGGGUUGUAAACCGCUUUCGCCUGUGACGAAGCGUGAGUGACGGUAAUGGGUAAAGAAGCACCGGCUAACUACGUG
rnacentral:rRNA from 1 species